CUCUCUCUCUCUCUCCCUCUCCAUCUCUCUUUCCCACUCUCUCUCCUCUCUCCAUCUCUCUCUCGCUCUCUCUCCAUCUCUCUCUCUCUCUCUAAGUAGGAGCAGGUGAACCAGCUAUGUCAGGUAUAGGAACAGGUGAACCAGCUAUGUCAGGUAUACAGUAGGAGCAGGUGAACCAGCUAUGUCAGGUAUACAGUAGGAGCAGGUGAACCAGCUAUGUCAGGUAUAGGAACAGGUGAACCAGCUAUGUCAGGUAUACAGUAGGAGCAGGUGAACCAGCUAUGUCAGGUAUAGGAACAGGUGAACCAGCUAUGUCAGGUAUAGGAGCAGGUGAACCAGCUAUGUCAGGUAUACAGUAGGAGCAGGUGAACCAGCUAUGUCAGGUAUACAGUAGGAGCAGGUGAACCAGCUAUGUCAGGUAUAGGAACAGGUGAACCAGCUAUGUCAGGUAUACAGUAGGAGCAGGUGAACCAGCUAUGUCAGGUAUACAGUAGGAGCAGGUGAACCAGCUAUGUCAGGUAUACAGUAGGAGCAGGUGAACCAGCUAUGUCAGGUAUACAGUAGGAGCAGGUGAACCAGCUAUGUCAGGUAUAGGAGCAGGUGAACCAGCUAUGUCAGGUAUACAGUAGGAGCAGGUGAACCAGCUAUGUCAGGUAUACAGUAGGAGCAGGUGAACCAGCUAUGUCAGGUAUAGGAAGCAGGUGAACCAGCUAUGUCAGGUAUAGGAACAGGUGAACCAGCUAUGUCAGGUAUAGGAGCAGGUGAACCAGCUAUGUCAGGUAUACAGUAGGAGCAGGUGAACCAGCUAUGUCAGGUAUACAGUAGGAGCAGGUGAACCAGCUAUGUCAGGUAUAGGAACAGGUGAACCAGCUAUGUCAGGUAUACAGUAGGAGCAGGUGAACCAGCUAUGUCAGGUAUACAGUAGGAGCAGGUGAACCAGCUAUGUCAGGUAUACAGUAGGAGCAGGUGAACCAGCUAUGUCAGGUAUACAGUAGGAGCAGGUGAACCAGCUAUGUCAGGUAUAGGAGCAGGUGAACCAGCUAUGUCAGGUAUACAGUAGGAGCAGGUGAACCAGCUAUGUCAGGUAUACAGUAGGAGCAGGUGAACCAGCUAUGUCAGGUAUACAGUAGGAGCAGGUGAACCAACUGAUGGGAUAUAACCACACAUUGUGCCACAAGGCCAUUUAGUUUGCCUUGUGUCAUAAGAGCAUCUGCUAAAUGACUUAAAUGUAAAUGUAAAUUCUGCCUCUAUCUUAUUGAAUGUAACUUCUGACGUUUUGUAAACCACCACUGUUGAGCUGCCUCCUCCUCGUGGUGCUAUGAAGCAUCAACAUUAUCAUUUAGACUUUGAUUUUGAUUACUUCCAGAAAUGACAGGAAAGAAAUGCAAACUAGACUACUGACCCUCUUGAUGAAUGUAUAUUAUAUUAUUACUAUUCUGUUAUGUUUGAUGUAGUUAUUCAUUAUUUAAAUACAUUUGAUUGGGAUUUUACUUUGUGAUCAUUUGGUUGACAGAAUAUGUAGCUUUAUAUAAUGAUAUGAUGAUACUGCCUAGAGUUGUUACCAGAAGGGUCUCGAAGGACCCUUGACACAAAAUCUUGUAUAUUUUUUGCCAAUUUGUAACAUAUUUUGUAAGUGUAUAUUUUUCUUAGUGAUGUGAAGUAUUUGUGUGUGAGUAACCUUUUAUCCCCUGUACAGGCAGUGGAAAGGAUGUACAAUAAAAUGCUUCUGGGUUUAAAAACCCAAAUAUGAAAGAAACAAAAAUGUGAAAUAUCUCCAUUUUGAUGGGAGUUUUGAAAUAAUAAGAUAUUGCUCUUGUUGUGAGAGUGUUGUGUUGUUGUGAGAGUG